CGGGCACCGCUCACGGGUCUACUGGGCGUAAGCGAGCGCAGGCGGUUGAUUAAGUUAGAUGUGAAAUCCCCGGGCUUAACCUGGGAAUGGCAUCUAUAACUGGUCAGCUAGAGUCUUGUAGAGGGGGGUAGAAUUCCAUGUGUAGCGGUGAAAUGCGUGAGAUGUGGAGGAAUACCGGUGGCGAAGGCGGCCCCCUGCGCAAAUACUGACGCUCAGGUGCGAAAGCGUGGGGAGCAAACAGGAUUAGAUACCCUGGUAGUCCACGCCCUAAACGAUGUCAAUUUGAAGGUUGGUCCCUUGAGGAGUGGCUUUCCGAGUUAACGCUUUAAAUCACCCCCCGGGGAAGUACGGCCCCAAAGUUAAAACUCAAAGGAUUUGACGGGACCCCCGCACAACCGGGGAAGAUGGUGAUUUAAUUCGAUGCAGCGCGAAAAACCUUACCUACUCUUGACUUUCUGAGAAGUUAACAGAGAUGCGUUGUUGUCUUCGGGAACUCGGAGACAGGUGCUGCAUGGCUGUCGUCAGCUCGUGUUGUGAGAUGUUGGGUUAAGUCCCGCAACGAGCGCAACCCUUAUCCUUUGUUGCCACCGAUUCGGUCUGGAACUCAAAUGACACUGACGGAGAUGAACGAGAUGAGGGUGGGGAUGACUCCUCGUCGUCCUGAUCCUUACGGCUUCGCAUGUAAUCCUACCGCCAUGACAUAUAGUCACAUAACCGCCAUCGGGAGAUCAAUCCGAAAUCAUAAUCGUGGUCCUGAUCGGGAUUUGAAUCUCCACUCGUCUACGUUGGAGUCGCAUUAUACUAUACUAGAUGUCACGCUGCAGACGAUCUCCCGGCUGCACAAGAAUACAAAA
rnacentral:rRNA from 1 species